GUGCAAAUGGUUCUUGUCCUCGGAAGGGAUAUGCUAUUAUAUACACCGUAUGUUUAAAGGAGAAUUUAACAGCAGCUACCGUCCAGUUUUAUUCUGUAUUUACUAAUCUUUUCUUUCUUUGCCUUUCAAUUAGGUGGACUGUUGAGAAACAAGAAGCUGGUCAUGGACAUCAGGUCUACUAGAUAAUUUAAUACAGAACUCUAAACUAGGCCUUGCUUGGUGACAUAAACACAAGACUGAAGCUGAUGUCAAGCUGAAGGCAGCCUGGGCUACACAGCAAGACCGUCUCUUACAAACACAACACAAGGCCCCAUCUGUAAAUUAUAAGAUGGCACUCAGAUGUAUAAAUCUGGAGAGAAUAUGUCAGGUGUCCCAUGAAUAAGUAAGUCUAGCACCAGAAUUUCAGAAACAAGGCACUAGGAUCAGGCAAUGAAGACAGGGACAACCAGAGGUUCGGAUGACAAAGAAACAGUUCAACAGUGUACCUGGAGCCAAACAUGAGGUUUCACAGAAAACCCGUCCUGUCUGCAACAGCACAGGCUGAUUCCUACAGCAUGAUAAAAUGAAGCAACUAACCUUUGGAAGUCAGGUUUACUGAGAACCUGGCAAGGUGUUGACUUCCUCUUGCUUAUCAAGUAACAGAACUGUUAAGCAUAAAGACCAGAGGACAACUUUUGGAAGUUGGCUCUUUUCUUCAAUCAUGUGGGUCCCAGGAACAAACUCAGGCCAUGGACUGACUCAGGCCAUGGCAGGGACGACUUGCUGAACCAAGGUGGUAACCUUGCCAACUCCCAAACCCUGUUUUCUAAGUCUUCCAGGAAUAAGGAAAUCAAGGGUUUUUCUGUGUAGUCCUGGCUGUCCUGGGACUCAGAAAUCUGCCUGUCUCUGCAUCCCGAAUGCUGGGAUCAAAGGUAUGUACCACCACGCCCAGACUCCCUAUGAGCUAUUUUUAAAAAAUAUGUUUGUGUGUAUGCACAUGUGUGCGAUUGCCCAGAAGCCAGAAAAGGGUGUUGGAGCCCCUAGAACUGGAGUUACAAGUGGUUGAGUGCUGGAAAUAGGACUUGGGUCUUCUGCAGGUCAUCACUGUAACAGCUGAGUCAUCUCUCUGCAACCCCUCCAUUCUCCACCCCCACCUUUUUUCUUGGAAAUGGCCUUGUCCUGUCGUUUAGACUGACCUAAAACUCACUGUGUAGCACUGUCUGGCUUCAGCCUCCCAGCAGUCCUCCUGUCUCAAUCUCAGAGACUUUACUCACACCUAAAAAGGAGCUGCUCUUUACAAGUCUUUGCAUAUCUACUGAGUCCAUAGUAGUAAAUAGGACACAAUUUAAGAAGCCCUGAAGAUUCUCAACAAAUUAAUUGAUUAUAGUUGAAUAUUUUACUUUGAGAACAAAGGCUGAUAGGACAGAAAGGACAAACACAAUUUUAGAAUAAAACAGGUGUAUUUCUAUUGGACUACCUAAUACAGAAGAUAGUGUGGCAAGGAUGGAUAAUAUCAAUGACAAAUAAUACAAAUAUAUUUUAUUUGAAAUAAACAAAAAUGCUUACACAGCUUUCAUCCGCAAACAAACUCCUGCUUGACUGUAUUACUAAGCAAAAAACAAAGCUGAAGCAAACACCCUUCUGUUUUGACUUGUGUUUGGAGACAGGUAGGAAGACACUACUUGGUUUUUUAAAAAAUUGACCUUCCCCUAAGGCCUGGUCAUAGAAAUGUAAACAAUGUAAAUGAGCCCACCAUUGCCAGUUGUCAUAGGUCACAUCACAUUACCUGUGUGCUCUGAGAUCUCACAUGCAUACCUCCAACAUACCUGGGAAGAUAGCUAUAUCACAGUUACAGGAUGAUGGAGAAAGUAAUUUGGAAUGAGUUUUAUAUCUCGUCUAGUAGGAGAAAGCACUAGCAUUCUCUGAAAUCCAGGUGAUGGCAGACAGACACUGCCUAGGAGUUCACUUUGACUUUGGUUCAUUCCAGCUUUGUGGGUAACAUGGCCUGCCAGAGAGCAUUGAAACACAGCUACCCAUCAUCCCUUCAGCACCUGUGGUUUUCAAGUUUUAUACUCUACUACAUCCACAGUAUGUCACCAGUUCUUGAAUAUUAAACAGAAAUACAAAUGGGCAAAACUCUUCUAAAAAAGCUGACAUCUGUUGAGGCAUUCCUGCAGGUACUGCCACUGACAGGGAAGUGGACCAAGAAGAGACAGAAUGAAAACUUGAGGCAGCCAGACUUGGUCAGACAGGAUCAAGACUUCUACAAUCUGAUCCUGUGUUUUAAUUUUUUCACACAUUUAAACAUAAUAGAACUUUGGGAAAAAAAGUCUCCACAUGACAAUUCUCAAAACAAAGCUUCAGGGCUAGCUAUAUCAAAAUUCCCUUGCCAAAUAGUAAAGCACCUGUGUCUUUACAAUAAGAAUGAGUUAAUGACUGACAAACAUAGGGCUGAGGCCUAGAAAGGAAGGAUAUGUAAUAGACAUAAGUUCUAUUCACUGAGAGACAAGCCCAGGACUAGGGCCUAAACAAUGCUCAGAAUAUUGUGUGUGGGAAGGGGUGGGGCUUCAGUUGGAGGUUGGCCUCUAACAGAAUAGCAAGGAUCACCAGGUUGUUUGAUCCUGUCAUUCCAUCAUUCCAGGUGAUCAGGCAUUUCUUUCCAUUAAAGAAAAUAGGCCCAUGUGACUGACUGACAAUCCUGGUUUCCCCCAAUGCAUUCUCUAAGCUGCACUUCCUGCAGACAUCUAUGGCUACAAUGGAAGUAUAUGGGAGGAGACGAGAGAAUGAAAAUAAACGUUCAUGUGCAGGGGAUGUGGUUCAAGUCUUUGGAAUUUAAAAACAAGUUCCCAGAGAAGCUGCUGCCAUGGAAUAUUCAAGAAACUUCCUUUGCCUCCCAACAUGGACCCAAAAAGCCCCAAUCCAAAUGUAUGAAAACUAUAAUUGUGAGAUGCUAUAAACAAUCAAAGCAGUCAGACAGAGGAGUGUGUCGUCCACUUAGUUACAGUUCAUAACAUAGCCUCUUUAGCAACUGGUGGAUCAGUAAAAGCCACUGAAGCACUGGAAAUGCUUUAAAGUAUGGGGUACAAAGUACUGACCAAAUACUCUGUAAAAACCAGCAACAGGACGUCAUGGCUAGGAAAUUUUCUAAACAGUAAAAUGACUUCAGGAUAGAUCUCUUUGACAUUAAAUGUAGCAGAAUUAAAAAAAAAAGAUUUACAAG